CGAGCCGAGGUGUUUCUCUUCCCCUUGCGGGAGCUGACGGUGAUGCCGAAGCAAUAGCUUGUGAGGCACGCGUACACGUACAUACGUAUACGGCGUCUGCCUAUGCGUUUCCGUGUGGAGAAGCCUCUGUGAGAUCCCCGAGGAGAGCGGCAGGCGAGGUUUGCACCGGAUCGGGAAGUUAGAACUUGUAAGACCAAUUUUUCAGCGGCAUAUGUGAGAAAAAUGAUAGUGUUUCACAUUUAAAGUAGGUUUUUUUCCUAAAACCUUUUAAAACAGAUGAUCUCAUUGUGGACUACCAAAAAACUGCUACCUGUAAAAAAAGAUUUGAGUCGACUGUCCAGGGAGGUGAGUCCACGUGCUGGUGACUGGCUUCUGAGGAAACAAAUAAAGAAACAAGAACAGAACACUUCUAAAACAUACUAAUACAAAGGCAGCAUGGAGAAUUCAAGCUCUACUGCUGUUGAACAGGUCAUCAUCCAACCACAGUACUGAUGACAGACUCCAACUGAAGCUCCCCAGAAGCUACAGGCAGUCCAGCGCCUUACCUGUGCUGGCAUGGUUUUACCUGCUGCAAGGGAGUCUCUGCAACAGGCUAGCAGACGUGCACAAUCGCUACCUUCAACUUACGCCACAGAUUUAGAGAAGAAAAACAGCAACAAAACCCAUCCAACAGUGCCAAACAGGCUGCUGUAGACCCAGUCAAUCUAUAGGCACAUGUGCUUUAUUCUGCUCGUAUCUACACAUCUAACACGUAGUUACUGGAGUGAAACUUGAGGUUGUUUACAGGGUUCUUAUGUUUCAAAUUUACGUGGGUUUUUCCUAGAUUGUCAUCUUUGUUUUUUCCUGUAUGGCACUGGUAGGAUUACAGAGGAGCAUUAAUCCAUACAUUCAUGCACAACUUUCACCCAAAGGAAAUUCCAGAGGAAACCACUACAUCUUGCAGAGAGGUCAUUCAUGUCCCUACAUGAAGAGUAUUGUGUCUACACCUGCAAAACAAGAGUUGUUUAUGCACAGCAGUCAGUGUAACGAGCGGUUUCCUCUCGUGGCGCACAGGGUCUCACAGCCUGUCGAGCUGUUCCCUCUUUGGUAGAGAGCAUAGAUUGAAUCAGUCAGAAGAGCUUGGCGCUCCUAUCUGUGAGGCGUCAGGAGAGACCAUUGGCUUGUGUGGUGGUGCGCUCUUCUUUCAGCAGAGCAGCCACGGCCAUUCCAAUGGCCGGUAACAGCCCACGCUACGCUGUGUGGUAGCGUAUCAGCGGUGAAUCUUGCGCCAAGGGCAGGACCGAAAACUAUGGGGUAAAAUUCCAUAACGAGCCAAGUAGCAGUUUGCUGCCCUUUGCGAAAAUAAUUUCUGUUGAUUUUUAAAACAACUUCUACAAAAACAUAACAUUUAAAACACAGUACUUGAAUGUGAUGGCUGGAAACUAUGAUCUAUUUAUACAGGUUUCUGUUCAAUUUGAUGAAAUGGUAGAUGAUGAGGGGAGCUGGUUAAAAAAAAAAAUAGUUGUCUACAUACCUCAUAGGAUUUACUGUGAUUUUACUGCCAGGUAGCUUAGCUACCUUGUGUGUUAUACCUAAAAACCUAAAAAUGUGUAUUUUGCAUCUGUUGCCAAGUUCACAAUUUACUUACUAGACUGUAACGCAGUUGCAAGUUAUUAAGGAUCAAAUCUUGGCAUUAAUUUGGUACAAUACCAUUCUAAGCUGAGGUUAGAGCAAAAAAAUGAUAAUUGGUACGUGGAUACAAAUUAGAGUUUAAUAUCCCAUGCAGCUGUUUACAUCUGCUUAAUUAAGCAGCAGUGACUUCACAUUAGCAUUGCUAUGAUACCAUAAAUACACACUAGAGAAAAAGGUACAAUCAUGUUAGCCCCGCUUUUAAUGUCAAAUCAAUGCAAGUUAGGUACUUUUUAUUUCAGUGUUGGUUUUUAAUGGGGGAAAAAAAAUGUCUUCACAUUUAAGGAGGAUCCUUCAGGUCUGAUACACCUGGGUUUGGUCCAAGGGCCAGGACUUGAUAAAAAGACUAGGCUGCUGUAGGCAAGCAGUUUAAGCAGUAAGUGAAAAGCUCUAAUGGAAACCACGAACUUAAAUACAGUUGGCAGUUAGUGGGUAAUUUUGCUUUUGGAGCCUUUACAAGAGCACGAGAGUCAUUUUGUACAGUAAUUGAAGGUAAGUACAUACCCGCCUAGUGCUGUUUUAACACUGAUGAAAUUCUCACACUUUGACUAUGUGGCAUAAACUCUUUCACGUAGUUACCAGCAGCUCUGGCACAGAGCUGCUUGUUUGGCUUUUUGAUCAAGGAUCCCCUGAAGUAACGCAGAUGUGCCCAAGUCAGUAUCUUGAGAGGUAUGUACGAUCAGGAGAGGCCUCGGAUUAACACCACGUACAGAUAUAACAGAAAUACGGUACUUUGGUCAGAACUAUCAAAGUCUGUUAACCAUCAGCAUGAGAACACAACCUCAGUUGGUGCCAUUUUUAAUGAUUAGAAAUAAUACAUUGUAAAACAAAAAGUGAAAAAAUUCCAGCAUGAUACUUAUAAACAAAGAACAAAUAGAAAGCAAAAAAGCUUCAGUUUUGUCUGAUUUAUAGUAUUUAUAAUACAACAGAUCAUUAGUCUGAGGUAAUACCAGUAAUAACUUUUUAGUCCUUCAGGGACUGCUCAAAAAUUAAGAACAGUGAUAGCAAUGCAUGUUAUGUUAAAAGUGAGACUUGAUUGUUAAAUCAGACAAAUCCCUUACCCUUUGUAGUUCAGCAUCUAUGGCUGCAGGUAUAAAAUUGGAAAUGAGUCUAUACAGUAGGAACUACGGAACGUGAGAGUCCUGCGUGGCACAUCA